rnacentral:rRNA from 1 species
AUUGAACGCUGGCGGAAUGCUUUACACAUGCAAGUCGAACGGCAGCACGGACUUCGGUCUGGUGGCGAGUGGCGAACGGGUGAGUAAUGUAUCGGAACGUGCCCAGUCGUGGAGGAUAACGUAGUGAAAAUUACGCUAAUACCGCAUACGAUCUAUGGAUGAAAGCGGGGGAUCGCAAGACCUCGCGCGAUUGGAGCGGCCGAUAUCAGAUUAGGUAGUUGGUGGGGUAAAGGCCCACCAAGCCAACGAUCUGUAGCUGGUCUGAGAGGACGACCAGCCACACUGGAACUGAGACACGGUCCGGACUCCUACGGGAGGCAGCAGUGGGGAAUUUUGGACAAUGGGCGAAAGCCUGAUCCAGCCAUUCCGCGUGCAGGAUGAAGGCCCUCGGGUUGUAAACUGCUUUUGUACAGAACGAAAAGGUUUCUACUAAUACUAGGAGCUCAUGACGGUACUGUAAGAAUAAGCACCGGCUAACUACGUGCCAGCCGCCGCAGUAA